rnacentral:rRNA from 1 species
UGCCAGCCGCCGCGGUAAUACGGAGGGUGCGAGCGUUAAUCGGAAUUACUGGGCGUAAAGCGCGCGUAGGCGGUUUGUUAAGUCGGAUGUGAAAGCCCCGGGCUCAACCUGGGAACUGCAUUCGAUACUGGCAGGCUUGAGUACAGGAGAGGGAGGUAGAAUUCCAUGUGUAGCGGUGAAAUGCGUAGAUAUGUGGAGGAAUACCGGUGGCGAAGGCGGCCUCCUGGCCUGAUACUGACGCUGAGGUGCGAAAGCGUGGGGAGCAAACAGGAUUAGAUA